GGCUCAGGAUAAACGCUGGCGGCGCACAUAAGACAUGCAAGUCGAACGGACUUAACUCAUUCUUUACGAUUGAGAGCGGUUAGUGGCGGACUGGUGAGUAACACGUAAGCAACCUGCCUAUUAGAGGGGAAUAACAGUGAGAAAUCAUUGCUAAUACCGCAUAUGCUCACAGCAACACAUGUUGCAGUGAGGAAAGGAGUAAUCCGCUAAUAGAUGGGCUUGCGUCUGAUUAGCUAGUUGGUGGGGUAACGGCCUACCAAGGCGACGAUCAGUAGCCGGACUGAGAGGUUGAACGGCCACAUUGGGACUGAGAUACGGCCCAGACUCCUACGGGAGGCAGCAGUCGGGAAUAUUGCGCAAUGGAGGAAACUCUGACGCAGUGACGCCGCGUAUAGGAAGAAGGUUUUCGGAUUGUAAACCGCUGUUGAUAGGGAAGAAGAAAGUGACGGUACCUAUCGAGGAAGUCACGGCUAACUACGUG
rnacentral:rRNA from 1 species